GCCAAUCAAUUAUAGAGCCCAGCACAUUAAAAGUAAGGGUCUUUUUAGUCAGUUCAAAAAAAAAAAAAGGGGCCUGUUUUAGUCAUUUUGUAAUGCAUUAGGCAUGAAUGUUAUGACUUGCGAAAACCUGCCCAAUGCCCUGCAAACCAGACCCUGUAAUGCUGGCAAAAGAACAAGCCUACUGCGCAUAAUAAUGGGGCAAACCUGAAGACAAUGAGAAGAAGGUGCAAGCUCAUAUAGCUAAGUCCAGAUGAUAGACUAGCGCGAUUGACGGACAGAAUCAACAGUUGAAAAUCUUCUUGUGAUCAGUGAAUCUAUUGCAGUUCUGGAAAUUUUGAUAUCAAAUUGGUUAUGGGGCAAAGGCACAUAAUGGCAUAGUAAUGUUACUGUGAUAAGUGUUUUCUAGAUUUUGCAGAAUUUUGGCCCUUUCAUUUUUUUUUUAGCUCUGUACUAAUAAGGAAUGCAAAAAAGUAUAGUUAGGCUAUUUCUUUCUUUAAAGGAAAGUGUGGAGUGCGUCCCGUAUUUUCAGAUAAACAGAGUCAACGUUGCUAUGUGAUAAGUACUAAAGUAACAUGUUUUAAUCCCAUUUUUAAUGGGUUUUUUUUAUUA